rfam:Bacillus licheniformis ATCC 14580, complete genome.
AUCCUUUUUUAAAUGCAUUCCAGUGAGUUUGCAAAGAGGGAUGGAACGAAAGAAAGCCGCCUUACCGUGCGGCGGUCUUUGUCUGCCUCUUUGCGCAAUUUAAGCAAAGAGGCUUUUUUAAU